UAACAAAAUAAUUAAUAAAUUAUAUAUUAAUUUUUUCCAUUAGUUUAGGUAACAAAUCACUCAUUCCAAAUUUAUCUCAUUGUUUCUCUCUCUUCUCAAGGAUGGGUGAUUCAUGUGUGAACGUCAAAGCUUUUGGAAUGACUUCUUCAAGAGAAUAUCAUUUUCUUUCAUUGCAGCCUUGUUGUAGGAUUCUUGCGAUAAACAGCAGGCCAUGGAGGCCAGGUGACGAUCAUUUCUAAUUUUUGCAUAUCCUGCACUAGCAAGAACCCUAAGUUAAAGGAGAUCAAACCAUGGUUUGUAUUCGGGGUUAAUGGCGCAAGAAUUGGUACCCAGUUUUCAAAAGAGGAGCUCGGGGAGAUUGCAGUGCACACACCAUAGUCAGUUAGCCUGGGAAUGUUUGACUCUGAUAAUGAUAUUAUGUUUUGAAUUAAUACUCGAGAAAUUAUGUUAUGACUUAUGAUACAGUUUUAUAAAUAUGAUUUUAGUAAUGUUUUUAAAGAAA